GACGAACGCUGGCGGCGUGCUUAACACAUGCAAGUCGAACGAGAAGCCGGAGCAAUCCGGUUGUAAAGUGGCAAACGGGUGAGUAAUGCGUGGGUAAUCUACCCUCGGGUGGGGAAUAACUCUUCGAAAGGAGAGCUAAUGCCGACAUGUGCAUCACUUUCGCAAGGAAGUGCUGGAAAGCCGUAUCGUGGAUACGGCGCCCAAGGAUGAGCUCACGUCCUACAGCUUGUUGGCGGGGUAACGGCCCACCAAGGCUCCGACGGUAGCUGGUCUGAGAGGACGACCAGCCACACUGGCACUGCGACACGGGCCAGACUCCUACGGGAGGCAGCAGUGAGGAAUAUUGCGCAAUGGG
rnacentral:rRNA from 1 species